UCUGUCUUUUCAUAGCUGUGCUCCCUGCCUUGUCUUGGGGAUAUGGUUUUGGUCAGCUUUUCCUCUAAAUGUGGGUGAUGUGAGAGAUUGUUUCCGGCUGGGGAAAAGUUCCUUCCAGGGACUGGAUGAAUCCAUAAGCGGCAAGAUGUAGAAAGCCCAUCUUGUCUGGCACAUUACCUCGAGGAAUCUACCCAAAGGAAAUAAUCAUAGCCAGGAAAAAUAUAAAUUACCAAACUGGCUCAAGAAGUAAAAAAAUCUGAGUAGGAAUGACCAGAAAAAACAAUGAAAAAGGAGUCAAGAGAUUUAUGCUUAAAAAUGGCACUGGGUUCAUAAAAGAAAAAAUUGAUAAAUUGGGUCACAUCAAAAUUUUAAAUUUUAAUGAGAUCCAGUUUAUUGAUAUCAGAGAGUGAAAAGUUAUGGAUUGGGAGAACAUACUCACAAACCACAUGUCUGACAAUAUCUAGAAUAUAUGAAGAACUCUCAAAAUGCAACAGAAAACAAACGGUCCAAUUAGAAAAUGGGCAAAAGACAUGAAGAGAGAUUUCACUGAACGGGAUCUACAGAUGGUAAAUAAGCACAUGAAAAGAUGUUCAGCAUCAUUAGCCAUCAGGGAAAUGCUAAUUAAAACUACAAUGAGAUAGUAUUAUAUACCUAUCAGAAUAGCUAAAAUAGUGACACCAACAGCUUCGUGUUGCUGGUGAGAGUGUGGAGAAAUUGGAUCACUGAUGGGGAGGUAGACUGGUACAGUUACUCUGGUAAACUGUUGGAUACUUUUUUUAUAAAACUAAACACGCAGUUACCAUAUGACUUAGCAAUUACAGAUUUUUUGGGCACUUAUCCCAGAGAAAUGAAAACAUGUUCACAAAAACCUGUACACUAAAAUUCAUAGCUUUAUUCAUAAUAGCUCAAACGGGAUACAGCUUGGAUGCCCUUCAGGGGGUGAACGGUUAAACAAACUCUGGUAUAACCGUACCAUGGAAUACUGCUCCACAAGAAAAAGGAAGGCACAGUUGACACAACAACCAGGGAAUUACACUGAGUGAAAAAAGCCAAUCUCAAAAGGUUGCCUACUGUAUGAGUCCAUUUAUAUAACAUUCUUCAAAUGAUAAAAGUAUAGAAAUGGAGAACAGAUUAGUAGUUACCGGGGAUUAGGGGAUGGGUGGUGGGGGAAUGACAAUAGGGAUGUGGACGUGGUUAUUAAAGGGCAACAGGAGGGAGCCUUGUGAUGGAAUGAUUCUGUAUCUUGACUGUGGUGGUUGAUACACAAACCUUAACAUAUGAUAAAAUUGUAUAGAACUAAGUGUACAUACUAUAUAUAUGUAUGCAUGUGUACACACACACACACACACACAUGCACACACACAGAUGAGUACAAGUAAAACUGAGGAGUUCUGAAUAAGAUGGGUGGGUUGUACCAACGUCAAUAUCUUGGUGUAGUGGUAGGGUAGUAUAGUUUUACAAAGUGUUACCAUUAGGGGAAACUGGGUAAAGGACAAUAAGAGGUCUUGUUAGUGUUUCUUAUAAUUGCAUGUGAAUCUACAUUUAUCUCAAUAAAAAAAUGGCACCAGGCCCAGAUGGUUUACAAGUAAAUUUUGCUAAUCCUUCAAAGAACAGAUAGUUGUUGCUCUAGAGCUUAGAGAACAAUAUAAGACUGUCCAUUUCAUUUUAUGAGGUUAGCACUACUCUUUGUCAAACCUAGAGAAAGAGAGCACCUAAAAACAAAUCUAUAGGCCAGUAUCACUUACGAUCUUACGUGCCUAAAUUUUAAAGAGAAUACUGUCAAACUGAGUAAAGCAGCUUAUUAGAAGUAUAACGGUGAGCACAAGUAGGGUUGAUGGAAGGAAUGCUUCAACAUCAGAAAAGCAGUGCAUUUAUUAAUAGUUUAAGGGAGAUAACAAUAUGAUCAUCUCAACAGAUGCAGAGAAAGCAUUUGAUAAAAGUAUAUACAAAUACCAAGAUAAAGGUCCUUAAAUUCUGGUUAACUGAAGGUUUACUAUAUUAAGGUUACUACAUCUGUGCUGAGGGCUCAAUUCACUUGAUGUGUUUAGGAACCAAAAGGCUAGUGUUUACUGAGUUGUUAGGCAACAGUCUCCAGUUACAUGGGUAACAGGUGUGUGGCAGUGCAAUAAAGUAUGGGUCGUAGCAUAUAUAGAUUGUAAUUCAUAUGGAGAUGUGGUUCUGGCGUUGCCAAUGUUCAGUUGUAUGCUAUCCCAAAUUAAGUUACUGUAAGGAGAUGAUCUUGAAUGUUUUGGAAUCAGAUAAAUAGAGGUUUAGUUUCUGGUAUUACUGCUUUAAAAGCCCUGAGACCUUGGAGAAGCUUCUUAUCAUCUCUGAGCCUGUUUUUUCAAUGUAAAAUUCGGGAUUAUGAUUUUUUCUUUUUGGUUAUUUCAAAGAUUAGCCUCAAUAAUGACUGAAAACUUCUGAAAAAAAUUGACCCAUAGUAGUAUUUAGCCACAUUUGUUUGUGUUUCCUUUUAGCUUUAGGUUUUGUGAUUCUGGGAUAUAUUAUGUGUGUGUAUGCAUACGUUUCUUGUUUCUCACUUGCAUUCUUAUCCUUAACACCAAGGGACAUAUGUUUUCAUACAUACAAAAGAUGACCAGUUUAUUUUUUACCAGGCAGGGGUGAUGCUGAAUUACACUUUUUCUUUCCCCCGUCCUCCACGUCUCCUGAAUAAACACUCAACUAAAGCUCAGAAUAGACUUGCUUAAUUUGGAAAUUAAGUUAAGAAUUAAAAAUCUAUGGUAGAGCUUGGGAUUGUAAUUUUAAAAUGCUUAAAGAACGCCAGCAUUGAAACCUUAAAUUGUAAACACUGCCAACUGUUAAGUUUACUAACGAAUUAAAACCUUAACUUGAUUUAUGCUCCCACUUCUGAAUUUAUUUAGGUAUUAGAAUGAUAAGUAUUUUGAUUUGAUUAUAUUUUGUAAUUGUCCUGAUUAGAUAUUGAAUUAAGUUUUACAUUUGGUAAGUCAGUCAGAUAACAUAUAUUGCUACGUGUCUACCAAGGAGAAAGUUCUUUGCUGGUCUUGAAAGUUAAAGAGAAAUUAUGACAUGAUGCCUGCCUUCAAGCAACUAUUACCUUUAGACUACUUAGGGUAAUUGAAGAUGAUUUGGGCAUGUAUUUAACAUAUGCAUUAAAUGAAAAGUGAACAUCACCUUGUUUUUGUCUCAAUCUGGUCAGAUAUUUCUAGCAAUCAGAACGGCCAAAGAACUAAAAUUAAGAAGGAGAAGAAGAGCCCCUUGUGGGACCAUGGUCUUGGGGAAUAUCUAGCUCAAUUAGCAUAACAUAGUUUAUAAAGAAAAUGUUCUACAUUCUGCUUUGGUGAGUAGCGUAUGGGGUCUUAAAACCCUGUGAGCCUCGGCCAUCCAGGAUACUCCACUGAUCUCACCCCUUUGGGAGCAAGGAAUAAAGAAGAAAACUAAAGAUAUAAGGGGCAGAUUAGACCAGAGGACUAAUGGACCACAUCUACCAUGGCUUCCACGAGACUAAGUCCAGUACAACUAGAUGGUGCCCUUCUACCACUACUGACUGCUCUGACAAGGAUCACAAUAGAGGGUCCCGGACAGAGCUGGAGAAAAAUAUAGAACAAAAUUCUAACUCAAAAAGAAAGACCAGGCUUGCUGGCCUGACAGAGGUUGGAGAAACCCUGAGAGUAUGACCCCCAGACACCCUUUCAGCUCAGUAAUGAGGUCACUCCUGAGGUUCACCCUUCAGCCAAGAUUGAACAGGCCCAUGGAACAAAACAAGACUAAAGGGGCGCACCAGCCCUGGGGCCAGGGGCUGGAAGGCAGGAGAGACCAGGAAUGCUGGUAAUAGGGAACGCAGGUUUGAGAAGAGAGAGUGUUGACACGUCAUGGGGUUGUUAACCAAUGUCAUAGAACAAUGUGUGUACUGACUGUUUGUUGAGAAACUAAUUUGUUCUGUAAACUUUCAUCUAAGGUACAAUAAAAAAAAAAAAGAAAAGAAGAGCCCCUAA